UACAGAGGUCUCAAGCGUUGUUCGGAUUCAUUGGGCGUAAAGGGUGCGUAGGCGGCGCGGUAAGUCGGGUGUGAAAUCUGGGACUUAACUCCGAAACUGCAUUCGAUACUGCCGUGCUUGAGGACUGGAGAGGAGACUGGAAUUUACGGUGUAGCGGUGAAAUGCGUAGAUAUCGUAAGGAAGACCAGUGGCGAAGGCGGGUCUCUGGACAGUUCCUGACGCUGAGGCACGAAGGUCAGGGGGAGCAAACGGG
rnacentral:rRNA from 1 species